rnacentral:rRNA from 1 species
GUACGGAAGGCAGCAGUAAGGAAUAUUGGUCAAUGCCCGCAAGGGUGAACCAGCCAUUCCGCGUGGAGGAUGAAGGCCCUAUGGGUUGUAAACUUCUUUUAGAUGGGAAGAAAAUGUUUUAUUUAUGGGACACUGACGGUACCAUCAGAAUAAGCACCGGCUAACUCCGUGCCAGCAGCCGCGGUAAUACGGAGGGUGCGAGCGUUAUCCGGAAUUACUGGGUUUAAAGGGUGCGUAGGCGGAUGAUUAAGUCUAAGGUGAAUGCAUGUCGCUUAACGAUAUAAUUGCCUUGGAUACUGGUUAUCUUGAAUAUGAUUGAGGAUAGCGGAAUGUGACAUGUAGCGGUGAAAUGCAUAGAUAUGUCAUAGAACACCAAUUGCGAAGGCAGCUAUCUGGGUCAUUAUUGACGCUGAGGCACGAAAGCGUGGGGAUCGAACAGGAUUAGAUACCCCGGUAGUCCC